rnacentral:rRNA from 1 species
UACGGAGGGGGGCUAGCGUUGUUCGGAAUUACUGGGCGUAAAGCGCACGUAGGCGGCUUUGUAAGUUAGAGGUGAAAGCCCGGGGCUCAACUCCGGAAUUGCCUUUAAGACUGCAUCGCUUGAAUCCAGGAGAGGUGAGUGGAAUUCCGAGUGUAGAGGUGAAAUUCGUAGAUAUUCGGAAGAACACCAGUGGCGAAGGCGGCUCACUGGACUGGUAUUGACGCUGAUGGUGC